CCCCUCAGCAAUGGGCAGAGAUACCUUGUUGGUGAUGGUGUGCUCUUAUCAGUCAGGGGCAGAGCAGACAGCAGUUCUUUGUUCAUCCUAGCCUGGUGCCUGGCUUGGUGAUCAAAGCUGUACUAUACCUAGUACAUAUAA
rfam:Mus musculus chromosome 18, GRC primary reference assembly.